UAACGAAUCUUCCCCAAUGCACGAAAGUGUGAGGGAGCGACGCCGCGUGUGGGACGAAGUCCUUCGGGAUGUAAACCACUGUCAGGGGUUACCAAGUUCUGAGGAGCCCCAAAGGAAGAGGCGGCUAACUCUGUGCCAGCAGCCGCGGUAAGACAGAGGCCUCGAGCGUUAGGCGGAAUCACUGGGCUUAAAGCGUGUGUAGGCGGGUCGUUAAGUACCUUGUGAAAUCCCCCGGCUCACCCGGGGAACGGCUGGGUAUACUGGCGAUCUUGGGCCAUUCAGGGGCAACUGGAACAAGCGGUGGAGCGGUGAAAUGCGUAGAUAUCGCUUGGAACGCCAAAGGUGAAAACAGGUUGCUGGGAAUGUGCCGACGCUGAGACACGAAAGCCAGGGGAGCAAACGGGAUUAGAUACCCCCGUAGUCC
rnacentral:rRNA from 1 species